GCAAUAUAUAACCGUAAUUGUCAUUAGGCACUAUACGAUUUAAGAAAUAUAAUUUCAAAUCGUUCCUAUUUGGACCGUCAGAAGCACCGCGUGAGUAUACAAGUUGGUGUCAAUCAAUAUGCUGUCGAUUUUGAAUCUCACAAUCAUAUACCAAAAUAUGCGUUUUCUCUUUCAUUUUCUCCUUGCUAUAUCUGAACCCGAGGUGGAUUUUUAUCGAAUAGGUUUUAGGCUUACAUUUAAGACACUAUAACUUCUUUGAAACAAUAUCUAUAGGUUUGGACUCACAGUUAAAAUCUCUGAGCAGCAUGUUCAUUAUUAGUAUCAUUAAAAUUAUGUUAUCGUUAUUAAAUAUUGUUGAUAGGCAAUCAUAUAAUUCCAUUUGUGUCUGAGGCUAGUUUCAAGUAAGGAACGUUAGAUGAGAUUACGCAUCUGGUAAGUCAUGCACUCGUCAUGGUCUUCCUGU